rnacentral:misc_RNA from 1 species
GUAGGUGAACCUGCGGAGGGAUCAUUACACAAAUAUGAAGGCGAGCUGGAUCCCCCUCAGCCGUGCGUUGCUGUACGGCGUGCGCGGCUGGGGCCAGCGUUGCUGAAUUAUUCACCCGUGUCUUUUGCGUACUUCUUGUUUCCUGGGUGGGUUCGCCCACCACCAGGACCAACCACCAAACCUUUUGUAAAUGCAAUCCGCGUCAGUAACCAACAUAAUAAUUACAACUUUCAACAACGGAUCUCUUGGUUCUG